rnacentral:hammerhead_ribozyme from 1 species
AUCCAGCUGACAAGUCCCAAAUAGGAUGAAACGCACAUACUGGAU